GUAUUAGUUACGUUCUUGAAACUCAAAGGAUUUGGCGGUAUUUUAGUCCUUUCAGAGGAACCUGUCCCUUAAUCGAUAUUCCACGAUUUUAUAUACUUUAUUUUGUUUAGCAGCUUGUAUACCUCCGUCAUAAGAAUUUUCUUUUAGGAUAAAUUUUCUUGAUUUUGUGAAUAUAAAAAUGUCAGGUCAAGGUGCAGCUUAUAAUUAAGUGGAGGUGGGUUACAAUAAGUUUAUUUAUACGGAUGUUCUUAGGUGUUAUUGAGAAUUGAAGGUGGAUUUGAAAGUAAAAUUAUUUUAUUGGUUUUUUGAUUAUUGGCUCUAAAAUAUGCACACAUCGCCCG
rnacentral:rRNA from 1 species